GCGGGGCCCGAGGGGAGCGCGGAGCGCAGUGUUUCAGCAAGCAACUGUUGCAGCUCACUUCAGAGGUCUGCAGGCACCUCUCUGGAAGCAGACCUUUCUUUUCUGCAGAGCAGCUCAGGACAUUCCAAGGUAGAAAACCCAGGCUGGAAUCCUCUAGUUCGGGAGAUGUCUGCCCAGUCUGAGGGCUGCAGUCCUACGUGAACUGUGCUGCUGUGGGAUGGGAUGCAGUUUACAAGAGUUCUCUGCUUUACUCAGGCAAGGAUGAUUCUCUGCUGUCGACAAGGAUCAUCUGAAUUUCUGCUCUGAUGAUUUCCUGGGAAACUCUUGACACCUAGUGAGAAGAUCAGAGCCAAAUGACUCAACACAAUGCAUUUCAGGAGGAGAAUGACAGCAAGAUCUCUGUGCAAAGGGAUUCCUUCACUUGUGGGUGCAUAGUGAUAGGUUGGGAAGGAUAGUGUCUGUGUACAUAUGUAGUCCAGGCUGAAUAGAAACAGCUUCUUGGGUUGACCAUUGGAGUCCAUAGCACUUUGAAAGGUUUUUUUCUGGCAGCUAUCUUCAGGGUCAUCAGCUUGCAUAUGGCUUAACUAAAGCAGUUAUCAAGGAACUACUGUCCUUCCUGUUCUGAAAAGGUUCCUAUUGUAGCCCUUUCUUUCCCCAUAGCCAACAAGAAGAUGGGCUCCCUUCCUGCUGUACUACGUGUCCUCCCACUCUGCACCAGAGCAGGUUGGCAGUGAGAGGUGACUCUUUGUGGCAUGUUUAUGCUGGCAUGAAGCAAGUCCAGGUGAAACAGCACUAGCCCUUCUCUGCAUCAUUGAUGUUUUCCUGAGGCCACCAUAAUGUAGCAGUUCUGCACUGGAAACAGCCUGAACUGUGUGUGACUUGAUACUGAGAAGCUUGUGAGUACAGUUGCAGGCAGGACUCUUUUCUCCUUCCCCAAGGGAGAAGGGCUCUUGGAGCUUGGUGCUGUGCAGGGACACUACAAUGAAAAUCCCUGCCCUCGCUAGGAAAAUAAACAAGGAUGAGAAAAUAUACUGAGGCAUGGACAGGGGUGCUGAUGCCUUGCUGACCACAUCUGCAACCCAGCCAGAUGCUCAGACCAAUGCUUUAUCUGUUAGGCAUCCUGCUAUGUCCUGCAGUAUUCAGGGUCCUCUCAAGCAAUGGGAAAGGAAGCAAAAGGAAAACAAAGGGCUUUUCCUGCUAACCCUUGUCACAGGAAGCCCUAUACCAUCUGAGGGAACUGCUACCACUGAAUGAAGAGGGUUUAAGACUUACGAGAGCAGAGUAGAAGUUCGAGCAGAGUAGAAGUUCAAGCAGAGGAAGUUCCUGUUCCCAUUCUCUCUUCUCCUUUAGUAGUCCACCGUGAGGCUACAAUUAAAGAUCAAUUGCCUCCAAAUAAUAUUGCAGAGUUUAUACCCACCAACAUUUCCCUAGCAGCAGGAUGUAGGCAAAGUUGACAGGCAACACACCUGCGUCUGAGAAGCAGGAAGCAGACUGAGGUACCUUCCAGUAAGGUAACAGUAGCCUUAACUCUGGCCUUCCAAGAAGAUGCCUUCAACCCUCCUUGACAUAUUUUAACAUUUUAAGCAUCUCAGUGCUGAGGGGCUCUUCAGGGACACAGCACCGACAGCUGGAUGUUAUAGUGCCUUGUGUAUUAAAGGCUCAGGCAAGGCAGCAGCCUUUUGUAAUACAGAAAAAAACUGACAGAUUCAUGCAUAGCUUUCUUUGAGGAGAUGAGGGCAGGGUGGUAAGAGGAUUGCAUUAUCAGAACUAUCUGCAUCAGCCUCCACAUAAAAUCAUUCUUCAGAAAUUAAGUUGUUCCCUUUAUUUUGUGCUUUUUUAAUUACAAAGUAAAAUACAGAUUCUAGGUUAUGGCAGUUGAAUAAGAGCAGGGUCAGAGCAAGGGGAAAAAAUCACAGAAUUGGGCUUUUACUCUAUUUGCUGCCUGAUUUGCUUUGGUUUAUGUUGUAAUCUCAGGUGGCCUCCUCAGUGGAUUGUAUACCAAGGGGAAGUUUUAACACUUGUGUGCUGGAAUAACUCUUAAAUGGAAACAUUGCUGAUGUCCCUGGGGACAUUUCUGUUCCUGUGUUAAGAGUACUUCUGCUCAGAUCAGCAUCAGCCCCUACCAAAGUAGGGCAAGCACAGGUCCUUAGAUCUUGUCUGGAGUCUCCUGAUGAGGAAUUAACUGGUCUAACUGGAGUUUUUUGUAUUCAUACCUAAUCUUCCAGCAUAACUUUUUGUGUAGAAGCUUCCCCCUGGGUUUGAAAAACACCCAGGAGGGUGCUUUGGGAGGAAGAUGCUUUAGAUAACAGAAAUAUAAAGCUUCAACAGAGCCUUAUUUGCCAGCAGUGCAGAAAUGGCAUUAUGAGACUCAUUGACAUGAAAGACACGUUUGAAUUAUUGUCUCCAGGAUAAACUCACCUUGCUCAGGCUUAACCCUUGCUUCCUUCCUGUUCUUGCCUCUGUUGCACGGGAGUAUUUUUAAUCUACUGCUUUGGAGGCAUCCUGCAUGCAUGUUUUCCUAGCCUCCUCCUGCCCUUCCUGCCUUGCUGCUCCUUUUCCCCAGCUGCACAGUAACAGUGAACUCUCAUCUUACAACAGGCAUCUCCCACUGCUUCCAUGUUCUGCAGUGCCCUCUAGUUUGGUUCUGGACACUCAGUUUUCCCAUGCUCAGUCACACCUUCAGCUUGUCAAAGAUCAAGGUUAGCACACUGCAGAUUUCUGACCCCCUCCAGAUCAGCAUCAUGUGCAAUCCAGGGCAUUGAGCCUUAACACUGGUUUUACACCAGCAGUUGAGCUCAGCUUCGGGAGAGGGCCAGGGUUUGGGACUUGGUUAUGGGCCUGCAAUAUGUACUUUUAAUUUAUCAGUGUCACUUUGCUGCCACAGUGGCAUGCAACAGUGCUGUCAUGGCUGUGCAGAGGCAGUAAUGAUGCUUGCCUUGCAGCGUGGUGCAGAACAUUGCACAUUCACACAAAUCUCAAAGUUUGAUACCAUUUUCUCUCAUUAUAAUAUCUGCUUAAAGAGUUGGUCUUCAUUGCAAAGACAGUUAAGCUACUGGCCCCACUUUUGAACUGUUAACUGUGGUGAUGCUUUUUACUCAAGUGAGGUGGAUCUUAUGGGAGCUUCCAAGUCUCUCUAGUUCCUCUCGUUUCUGGGGAGGUGUUCAGCAAGAAAUAGAUGCCUACUUUGCCAGGUCCUUUUUCCACAGAUUUGUUUUUUGUUGCUUUUCUGGGUAGGAAAAGUGAACUCAGCAUAGCUGUGGUGAGCAUGUGGUUAAAAGAAGUAUUCAUUAUAUUUUUUAAAGACAUCAGAUGCUUCAUCUCUGGAAGUUUGUUCUGUAACUCCUAGAUGGGGUUUAUUAUAUUCCCUAUCAUUCACCCUGCUACCCCUCCACCUGCGACUCACUCCCUGUUUUACCAAGUAGAAAACCAAAGCACAGGAGUUGAUUAUCUAAGUAAACCUGACUCACUUUUGAGAUUUACUUGCACUAGUGUAAGUCAGGACUCACUGGACUGAAAUUAACUGAGUUCUGCUGAUGGAAAACAGGCAUGUGAAGAACAUCUCAGCCUCCAGUGCUGCUUGUUGCCUGGUGAGGAAUAAUUAAACUGAAUUUGGCCCUAAGAAGUGCUAAUCCUCAGAUGCUCCCCUUUUCCCAGCCCAGCUGAGCUCCACUCCAGCUUAGAAUGUUAACUUUCUAUCCACCUCCACAAGUGCUUUUUUCCCCCCUCACCUCCUCUGUGUUUCAGGACAGAGACAUUGUCUGUUCAAUCCACUUGGAUAUAAACAGCACAAAGGAAGCAAUAAGGAAACUCCUCCCUAUCCCUUGCUCUAACCACUUCAGACGUGCUGCCAGCUUGCUGCAGGGUGCAUAUUAUCACAAAUUCAGGGAGCUUUCUUACCUGGAGAGGCUUCAGCUCUGGUGCAUCAGCAACUCUUGGGGAGCAGAUAUGUAUUUCUGUGCAACUGCCAUGCUGCAAAUUACAGUUGCUCCAAAGUGCCUGUCCAUAUGGUUGCGUUCAGUCUCCUCAUCACAAAGCAGGUA